rnacentral:rRNA from 1 species
CCUACGGGUGGCUGCAGUGGGGAAUAUUGCACAAUGGGGGAAACCCUGAUGCAGCGACGCCGCGUGAGUGAAGAAGUAAUUCGUUACGUAAAGCUCUAUCAGCAGGGAAGAAACACUGACCUUACGGUCAGCAGACGGUACCUGAGUAAGAAGCCCCGGCUAACUACGUGCCAGCAGCCGCGGUAAUACGUAGGGGGCAAGCGUUAUCCGGAUGUAAUGGGUGGAAAGGGAGCGUAGACGGUGGGCCAAGUAUGGAGUGAAAUGCCGCAGCUUAACUGCGGAACUGCUUUGGAAACUGGGGAACUAGAGUGCGGGAGAGGCAAGCGGAAUUCCUAGUGUAGCGGUGAAAUGCGUAGAUAUUAGGAGGAACACCGGUGGCGAAGGCGGCUUACUGGACCGUAACUGACGUUGAGGCUCGAAAGCGUGGGGAGCAAACAGGAUUAGAUACCCCAGUAGUC